rnacentral:rRNA from 1 species
GUGAAAGGAUGUAGGCAUGUAUCUUAGGCAAAUCCGGGGUACUCUAUGCUGAGAUCUGAUAGCAAGCUGUACUUGUACAGCGAAGUGGUUGAUGCCAUGCUUCCAGGAAAAGUCUCUAAGCUUCAGUUACACAGGAAUCGUACCCGAAACCGACACAGGUGGUCAGGUCGAGUAGACCAAGGCGCUUGAGAGAACUCUGCUGAAGGAACUAGGCAAAAUGGUACCGUAACUUCGGGAGAAGGUACGCUGUUGUUGGUGAUGGAACUCGCUUCCUGAGCUGACGACAGCCGCAGAAACCAGGCCGCUGCAACUGUUUAUUAAAAACAUAGCACUCUGCAAACACGAAAGUGGACGUAUAGGGUGUGAUGCCUGCCCGGUGCUGGAAGGUUAAUUGAUGGGGUUAGCGUAAGCGAAGCUCUUGAUCGAAGCCCCAGUAAACGGCGGCCGUAACUAUAACGGUCCUAAGGUAGCGAAAUUCCUUGUCGGGUAAGUUCCGACCUGCACGAAUGGCAUAAUGAUGGCGGCGCUGUCUCCAGCAGAGGCUCAGUGAAAUCGAAAUCGCUGUGAAGAUGCAGUGUACCCGCGGCUAGACGGAAAGACCCCGUGAACCUUUACUGCAGCUUGACACUGAACUUUGACCUUACUUGUGUAGGAUAGGUGGGAGGCUUUGAAGCUGGAACGCUAGUUCCAGUGGAGCCGUCCUUGAAAUACCACCCUGGUAAUGUUGAGGUUCUAACUCUGUCCCGUGAUCCGGGACGAGGACCGUGUCUGGUGGGUAGUUUGACUGGGGCGGUCUCCUCCUAAAGAGUAACGGAGGAGUACGAAGGUGCGCUCAGCGUGGUCGGAAAUCACGCGUAGAGUAUAAAGGCAAAAGCGCGCUUAACUGCGAGACCCACAAGUCGAGCAGGUACGAAAGUAGGUCUUAGUGAUCCGGUGGUUCUGUAUGGAAGGGCCAUCGCUCAACGGAUAAAAGGUACUCUGGGGAUAACAGGCUGAUACCGCCCAAGAGUUCAUAUCGACGGCGGUGUUUGGCACCUCGAUGUCGGCUCAUCUCAUCCUGGGGCUGAAGCAGGUCCCAAGGGUAUGGCUGUUCGCCAUUUAAAGAGGUACGCGAGCUGGGUUUAGAACGUCGUGAGACAGUUCGGUCCCUAUCUACCGUGGGCGCUGGAAAUUUGAGAGGAUCUGCUCCUAGUACGAGAGGACCAGAGUGGACGAACCUCUGGUGUACCGGUUGUGACGCCAGUCGCAUCGCCGGGUAGCUAUGUUCGGAAGGGAUAACCGCUGAAAGCAUCUAAGCGGGAAGCCUACCUCAAGAUAAGAUUUCCCUAGGACUUUAUGUCCUCUAAAGAGCCGUUCGAGACUAGGACGUUGAUAGGUUGGAUGUGGAAGCAUAGUGAUAUGUGAAGCUGACCAAUACUAAUUGCUCGUGAGGCUUGACUAU